GUUUUGCUGCUGAGGUUUUGCUAAGUGCUUUGCAUGUCACAGGAUCCUUAGCUAUUCUUAAGGUCCACACUGAAAUCUGGCUGAGAGACAAUAAAAGCAACAAAUACUGCUUUGUCUGGCAAUGUUUACAAAGCAGGGAGGCCUGAGGCUCUGGUUGUCUGUUCAAGGCAAUCUGUCACUGUCACACCAUGAUAACCUCAGAGUUCUUUCUGUCUAGCUGCAGGGUAUUCAAAGAAAAGAUGCUGACCUGAUUGUGGUGGGUUGAAUGGCGAACUUCAGGAACGUUAUGCAUGUAAGAACUUUAAUGUUUUUAAAGAGGAAGGACUAACAAGAAGGACUCACCAGUGCUCAAUUCCCAGCUGGUUGUGUGGGAACAUGAGGAAAGAUGAGCUUGCCCACCUUGGCUACAGAGAGUCAGAGAAAGACUGGAGCAGGAAAGAAGCUGGUAGGAAGCAACUUCUGGUUGAAAAGAGAUUGGAGACAGCUCCCACAGCUGCGCACCACAUCCCCACACAGGGUCAUCGGCAGCCUCAGUGGUGUGACACUGGGAGUGAGGAGGCAGAACAGUAGCAGGUCCCCAGGGUGCUGCGCUCCUGGUUCUCCAUGUCCUUUGUGUGCCACGGUGCUCCACAGAUCUCCACGGGGCUCUGGUUGGCCUUGGAGGCUGGAGAAGAAGGAAACAACUCUGGGAAGUCUGAACAUCUGCUAAAAUCAUGAUGGUUGGGGAUGAGCUCAUAGCAGUGCUGCAGUGAUGGAAGAGCUGAGUCUUGUAUGAGUUCCAGGUCUCCUGGAACAGUGCAGUGCAAUCUUCCAUUAUAUGAAUCGAGAUAAACUUGGCAGAGGUUCUCAGCUUCUGAGUCGUUUCCACAGGGCUGACCAUUCCUUGGACCUUAGCUGGACCACAUCCGGGUGCUGAAAUAACACUGGUAUACGGGUGGCUUUCUUGUUUCUCACAAAUAAUUUGAUUCUUAAUUUUAACCUGACUUUUCUCAGUCAUAAUUGUAAAUCUCCUAAAAAAAGAAAUUCAAAGGAGGCUUGUCUUGAUAGGGCUCAACAUAAUUGAGAAUAAAUCAAGACCUUUUGUUUCCUGGUAAAAUAAAUUCUGUGUCGCAAGUCUGGGUCAGAAACCAGGUUUACGACAGGGCGUCCGGAUGUCUCUGCGGCUUCCUAUUCGCCGCAGCUGCCAGGAUCCAGGACUCAUCCAGAUGACUGCAAG
rnacentral:lncRNA from 1 species